UAGUUGUCGGUAGCCGAGCGCCAGUGGGGCUCCUCCAGCACCUCGAAGAUCGCCGCCCCAAUGGACAGGUUCAGCGGAAUUCCUCGUUUUCGACGCCGGGAGGCUGUGAAACGAGGUCUGUGGCUUUCCUGGAUGCAUGGAAGCGUGGAGAGAAGCUGAGCAGGAGCUUUGAGGAGGAAAUACGUCCGUCCGCAGAUUGCACCCCUUCCCUGAGACAUCUGUAAUGCCUCACACGUGGGCAUUAUAGAUGUCCAUUUCUUUCCUGCUUUUGGUACCCUCAAUAAAUAACGCUAUGUCCC